AGAGUUUGAUCCUGGCUCAGGACGAACGCUGGCGGCGUGCCUCAUACAUGCAAGUCGAGCGAAGGAUUCAGUAGCUUGCUACUGAAUGACUUAGCGGCGAACGGGUGAGUAACACGUGAGUAACCUGCCCUUCAGAUCGGGAUAACAGUGGGAAACUGCUGCUAAUACCGAAUAUAAUCUGAUCGUCACAUGGCGGACAGAUGAAAUGCAAUGUGCUGAAGGAUGGACUCGCGCUUCAUUAGCUAGUUGGUAAGGUAACGGCUUACCAAGGCGACGAUGAAUAGCCGGCCUGAGAGGGUGAACGGCCACACAGGAACUGAGACACGGUCCUGACUCCUACGGGGGGCAGCAGUCGGGGAUAUUGCACAAUGGAGGAAACUCUGAUGCAGCGACGCCGCGUGAAUGAUGAAGGCCUUCGGGUCGUAAAAUUCUGAUGUGAGAGACGAAGAAAGUGACGGUAUCUCACCAGCAAGCACCGGCUAACUACGUGCCAGCAGCCGCGGUAAUACGUAGGGUGCAAGCGUUGUCCGGAAUCACUGGGCGUAAAGGGAGCGUAGGUGGUUAUACAAGUAUUUAGUAAAACGGCAUGGGCUUAACCGAUGUA
rnacentral:rRNA from 1 species